rnacentral:rRNA from 2 species
GUCUGGGAAACUGCCUGAUGGAGGGGGAUAACUACUGGAAACGGUAGCUAAUACCGCAUAACGUCGCAAGACCAAAGAGGGGGACCUUGGGGCCUCUUGCCAUCAGAUGUGCCCAGAUGGGAUUAGCUAGUAGGUGGGGUAACGGCUCACCUAGGCGACGAUCCCUAGCUGGUCUGAGAGGAUGACCAGCCACACUGGAACUGAGACACGGUCCAGACUCCUACGGGAGGCAGCAUUUGUUUUUUUUUGCACAAUGGGCGCAAGCCUGAUGCAGCCAUGCCGCGUGUAUGAAGAAGGCCUUCGGGUUGUAAAGUACUUUCAGCGGGGAGGAAGGCGAUAAGGUUAAUAACCUUGUCGAUUGACGUUACCCCGCAGAAGAAGCACCCGGCU